ACGGGAGGCAGCAGUGGGGGAUAUUGGACAAUGGGGGAGACCCUGAUCCAGCGACGCCGCGUGAGUGAAGAAGUAUUUCGGUAUGUAAAGCUCUAUCAGCAGGGAAGAAAAAGCGCAAGCAUUGACUGUACCUGACUAAGAAGCCCCGGCUAACUACGUGCCAGCAGCCGCGGUAAUACGUAGGGGGCAAGCGUUAUCCGGAUUUACUGGGUGUAAAGGGAGCGUAGACGGCAUGGCAAGUCUGAUGUGAAAGCCCGGGGCUCAACCCCGGGACUGCAUUGGAAACUGUCAAGCUAGAGUGCAGGAGAGGUAAGUGGAAUUCCUAGUGUAGCGGUGAAAUGCGUAGAUAUUAGGAGGAACACCAGUGGCGAAGGCGGCUUACUGGACUGUAACUGACGUUGAGGCUCGAAAGCGUGGGGAGCGAACAGGAUUAGAUACCCUGGUA
rnacentral:rRNA from 1 species